UAAGGAAUAUUGGUCAAUGGGCGCAAGCCUGAACCAGCCAUGCCGCGUGCAGGAAGACGGCCCUAUGGGUUGUAAACUGCUUUUGUCAGGGAAUAAACCCCCGCUCGUGAGCGGGGCUGAAGGUACCUGAAGAAUAAGCAUCGGCUAACUCCGUGCCAGCAGCCGCGGUAAUACGGAGGAUGCAAGCGUUAUCCGGAUUCAUUGGGUUUAAAGGGUGCGCAGGCGGAUUGGUAAGUCAGGGGUGAAAUCCCACAGCUCAACUGUGGAACUGCCUUUGAUACUGUCAGUCUAGAGUAUAGUUGAAGUGGGCGGAAUGUGUCAUGUAGCGGUGAAAUGCUUAGAUAUGACACAGAACACCGAUCGCGAAGGCAGCUCGCUAAGCUAUAACUGACGCUCAUGCACGAAAGCGUGGGGAUCAAACAG
rnacentral:rRNA from 1 species